GACGAACGCUGGCGGCGUGCUUAACACAUGCAAGUCGAGCGGAGCGGCGAACGGGUGAGUAACGCGUGAGUAACUGCCCCCCUCUCUGGGAUAACAGUUGGAAACGGCUGCUAAUACCGGAUAGUGGGGGAUGACUCGCGUCCUAUCAGCUUGUUGGUUGGGUAGUGGCCUACCAAGGCGACGACGGGUAGCCGGCCUGGGAGGGCGACCGGCAACCUUGGACGGAAAAGCGGUCCGAGUCCCUAGGGAGGAAGCCGGUGUGAAGAUUGGACAAUGGGCGCAAGCCUGAUGCCCCAAUGCCGGUGUAGUGAGAAGGUCUUUGGGUUUGAAAGUAAUUUCCGCGAGGAGGUAGGUUAAAAACCUUUGUUAUUUGACGUACCUCCCGGAGAAGCCCCGGGUAACUCCGUGCCAGCAGCCGCGGUAAUAC
rnacentral:rRNA from 1 species